rnacentral:rRNA from 1 species
UGGGGAAUAUUGGACAAUGGGCGCAAGCCUGAUCCAGCAAUACCGCGUGUGUGAAGAAGGCCUUAGGGUUGUAAAGCACUUUCAAUUGGGAGGAAAACCUACCGGUCAAUACCCGGUAGCUUGACAUUACCUUUAGAAGAAGCACCGGCUAACUCCGUGCCAGCAGCCGCGGUAAUACGGAGGGUGCAAGCGUUAAUCGGAAUUACUGGGCGUAAAGCGUGCGUAGGCGGUUCGUUAAGUCAGAUGUGAA